CACGUAGGGACCAAGCGUUGUCCGGAUUCAUUGGGCGUAAAGAGCUCGUAGGCGGUUCGAUAAGUCGGGUGUGAAACCUCCAGGCUCAACCUGGAGACGCCACCCGAUACUGUCGUGACUAGAGUCCAGUAGGGGAGCGUGGAAUUCCUGGUGUAGCAGUGAAAUGCGUAGAUAUCAGGAGGAAUACCGAUGGCGAAGGCAGGUCUCUGGGCUGACACUGACGCUCAUGCACGAAAGCGUGGGGAGCAAACAGG
rnacentral:rRNA from 1 species